rnacentral:rRNA from 1 species
UCCGACUGUUUGCCAAAAACAUAACCUUUAGAUUAACCAAUAUUAAAGGCAACGCCUGCCCAGUGAACAAUUAAACGGCCGCGGUAUCCUAACCGUGCAAAGGUAGCAUAAUCAUUUGUCUACUAAUUAUAGACCUGUAUGAAAGGCAAAAUGAGGGUCUAGCUGUCUCUUAUAAUAAAUCAAUUAAACUGAUCUCCUAGUAAAAAAGCUAGAAUUUAACCAUAAGACCAGAAGACCCUGUGAAGCUUAAAAUAAACUAUUAAACCAAAUAAUAGCUACUUUCGGUUGGGGCGACCUUGGAAAAAAAAAGAACUUCCAAUAAGACGACACACCUCGUACCAUCAAUUAUAGGCCAACAAGCCAAUUAACGACCCAGCAAAGCUGACAAUUGAACCAAGUUACUCCAGGGAUAACAGCGCAAUCUUCUUCAAGAGCCCAUAUCAAAAAGAAGGUUUACGACCUCGAUGUUGGAUCAGGACAUCCUAAUGGUGCAGACGCUAUUAAGGGUUCGUUUGUUCAACGAUUAAUAGUCCUACGUGAUCUGAGUUA